ensembl:lncRNA
CCUUAAACAACCCCUCAGACACCCUUUUAAGCUUAGCCUGAGACCAUCAGCCCCUACCUGAGCUUUUUGGAGGAGUGCUGGUCUCUAGCUCAGCUGUGCCUGGCUGUGGAGUCCUUUCCUCCUGAGCUUUGAGUUGCUCCUUACUGGCUCCUCUUUCCCUGGAGGCAGCAAAGCGGCAAAGGAUGACAGACAUGAAGAUUCAUGGUUCAGUUUUGUCUAGAGGACUUUGCCCACAAAUAAAGACAAUCCCAUAUUCAGUGUUUCACCUCAUUGGAUUGAGCCUGCAAAGUACUUCUUAUCUAGGUCAAGAGGAAUAAGACUGAAACUGGAUGGUGUUUCUGCAGUAGAAUUCCAGAAACAUCAUUUUGACUUACUUUUGUGUGUGUGUGUGCAUGUGACUGCAUCCAGUCCAUUCCACAAUAUUAAGGAAUUGGUUUGGCCUCAGUAUUACCAGGACUGGGUAGCAAGUCCCAAAUCUGAAAACAAGGAACAGCUAUCUGCACUUGCACAUCCUCUCUGUGCUCCCAUGGUGAGCUGCCUAAGAGGCAUGUACCAGAUGGUCAGCUAAGAGGGUGAGAUGAUAGAAAAGUUGGUGAAGGAAGCUUCAGUCCUUCUUCUUCCUAACCUGCACCUUCUCAAAAGAUGCAUUCGGAUGGGGAGGAAAUAAGGUGGAGCAUAUAUCUCCUUAUUCAACAUGGAUAGGAAGAAGGCCCUUUGAAGUUGGGAGAGUAGUGUGGGGAGGAAGAGGAUAAAGAGACAAAACAAACAGCAACAGGAUAAGUCCUGGGAAUGGGUGAGUGGAAUGAAGAAGUAAUUAAAGUGUAAGUCAAAAGGAUGUUUAAAAUAACAAAAGCUUAUAGGCAGCGUGCAGGAACAAAAGAGGAAAUGUACAGUGGGUGCCAUGAGUUUGGCUUCCAUAAACCAGACUGAAGCUAUCUUGUUUGCUUCAUUCUACAAUCCAUAGCAAUUCAGGGAAGUAAUUCUGCAUCUCUUGACUUCCGUGUGAUUAAAAUGUUCUUGGCAUCUGCUUCGUUUUUAAUGCGAUUGGUUUUGUAACAUAAUUAGAAUGGAUUUUACAGCUUUGUGUACUUUUAUUUAAGAAACAACAGAACUAGUACACAGUUGUGUGUUUUUUUUUUGUUGUUUUUUUUGUUUGUUUGUUUUGUUUUGUUUUUUUUCCUAGAGAAGUAUCUCUAAAGCAUUAUACCAGAAUGGCACUACAGUAUUGAUAAUAAGAUCAUGCAUAGCAAGCGUUGCAGAACAGACUCUUAAUUUCACCACACAAUGCUUUUGACUCAACAAAAAGGCACAACCUGUGUUUUGUUAGCCCCACCGAUCUCAGUGUGCAAGCUGUUCGUAGGAUCAGAUGUACAAAAUGAAGGCUGAUGUUGGUGGGUGGGGUGGGAGGUGUGUAUAUGGGUUAUGUUAAAAUUAUGAGCUUUUAUGACUCUGUAAUAUGAACUUAUUUUUUUCUUCAUUUGAAGCUUACUGGUGAGACCAUAGUAAGACUGUUAGGUACACUAUGGUUGAGUGGUCCCACUAAGCCAACGGGAUUAACUUGUGCAUUC